GGCUGGUCUGAUGGUAGUGUGUUAUCAGAACUUAUUUACAUUAGUGUCUCUAAAGUUGGUAUACAACCCCCCACUGCUAAAUUUGACUGGAUUUUA
ensembl:misc_RNA Y_RNA Y RNA